rnacentral:rRNA from 1 species
UACAGAGGUCCCAAGCGUUGUUCGGAUUCACUGGGCGUAAAGGGUGCGUAGGCGGUUUGAUAAGUCUGAUGUGAAAUCCCGCAGCUUAACUGCGGAACUGCAUUGGAAACUGUUUGACUAGAGGAAUGGAGGGGAGACUGGAAUACUUGGUGUAGCAGUGAAAUGCGUAGAUAUCAAGUGGAACACCAGUGGCGAAGGCGAGUCUCUGGACAUUUCCUGACGCUGAGGCACGAAAGCCAGGGGAGCAAACAGG